GUCCAAAUCGGUGUUCUCUACUAAAUUCAAUGUGUAGUAACUUUUUGGCGAUGUAAUUAGGCAAAUUACAAAGAAACUGAUACGGUGUAUAAACGUUCAGCAGAAUUUGUUGAUUUAACAAACCAACGAUGGAGACGGAACGCCCAUUCUUCUCCACAUUGCUUCACUCUGCGAACUAAAUUGAAGAUCUGUCUCACCCUCUCGCUUUUUCACCAGCAAGUUCCAUCUUCGGUAAACGCCGGCGCGGUUCACGAACGCGCCCUUGUGGAAUUUUUCGACGAAUCCAACAUUUCAACUUCGGAACUGAUAUCACUGGAAUAAUUUACGACAACCUCUCGUGGAUUGUGAUCUACUUUAUCAGAAGUAUUGUCUUCAGUUUUACUUGAAUCUUCUCCCCAUCCAGAAAAUAGAUUUACUCUUAGUUUAUCAAUAUCUUGAUUAGCUGGUCCGGUUAUAUUAUUUCCACUCUCCAACGUCCCUGUAUUGUCUGUUUCCUGAUGUCUAACUUCAGGAAAUUUAUACUUCGGAAUCUCGACAGGAGCAUCUAAUAAGAAUGAUUGAUAAUUAGAUAAGAUUAUUUGAAAAAAAUAUAGUAAACAGAAACAUGAUUUUAGAUACCCGGAUAUGGAGGUGAUUCCUCUAUGAGUUGUUCCAUACAAUAAGUUAACAUAGUUGUUGUAAAUGUGUCAUCCCUUCUUAGACCAAGUGCUCUGUGAAAAGCAUCAACAGCUUCCUGUGUGUUUCCCAUCAAUGCAUGAAUAAAACCUACUGCAGAGUAUGUUGAUGGAUUCAAUGGAUUUAAUACCAAUGCCUGUAAUCAUAAAAGAGAUAAGAUUAAUAUAGAAACAAUUUUUAAUAAAACUA